rnacentral:rRNA from 1 species
CCUACGGGAGGCAGCAGUGGGGAAUAUUGCACAAUGGGGGAAACCCUGAUGCAGCGACGCCGCGUGAGUGAAGAAGUAAUUCGUUAUGUAAAGCUCUAUCAGCAGGGAAGAAAAUGACGGUACCUGAGUAAGAAGCCCCGGCUAACUACGUGCCAGCAGCCGCGGUAAUACGUAGGGGGCAAGCGUUAUCCGGAUUUACUGGGUGGAAAGGGAGCGUAGACGGCAGUGCAAGUCUGGAGUGAAAGGCGGGGGCUCAACCCCCGGACUGCUCUGGAAACUGUACGGCUGGAGUGCAGGAGAGGUAAGUAGAAUUCCUGGUGUAGCGGUGAAAUGCGUAGAUAUUAGGAGGAACACCAGUGGCGAAGGCGGCUUACUGGACUGUAACUGACGUUGAGGCUCGAAAGCGUGGGGAGCAAACAGGAUUAGAUACCCCAGUAGUC